rnacentral:rRNA from 1 species
GUUUGAUCCUGGCUCAGGAUGAACGCUGGCGGCGUGCCUAAUACAUGCAAGUCGAACGAGGCCCUUUGUAUUCGUAUGAAGGUGUCCUAGUGGCGAACGGGUGAGUAACACGUAGGUAACCUACCCCGAAGAGGGGGAUAACCUCGGGAAACUGAGGCUUAUACCCCAUGUGCUCCACGGUAUUAGAUGACCAUGGAGUAAAGGAGUAAUCCGCUUUGGGAGGGGCCUGCGGCCCAUCAGCUAGUUGGUAGGUUAAUGGCCUACCAAGGCUAUGACGGUUAGGGGGCCUGAGAGGUUGGUCCCCCACACUGACACUGAAACACGGGUCAGACACCUACGGGUGGCAGCAGUAGGGAAUAUUGCACAAUGGGCGAAAGCCUGAUGCAGCAACGCCGCGUGCGCGAUGAAGGCCUUCGGGUUGUAAAACGCUUUUCUGGGGGAAGAGAAAGGACGGUACCCCAGGAAUAAGUCUCGGCUAACUACGUGCCAGCAGCCGCGGUAAAACGUAGGAGGCAAGCGUUAUCCGGAUUUACUGGGCGUAAAGCGUGUGUAGGCGGUAUGGUAAGUCGGACGUGAAAGCUCCUGGCUCAACUGGGAGAGGCCGUUCGAAACUUCCAAACUUGAGGGCAGUAGAGGGAGGUGGAAUUCCGGGUGUAGCGGUGAAAUGCGUAGAUAUCCGGAGGAACACCAGUGGCGAAGGCGGCCUCCUGGACUGUCCCUGACGCUCAGACACGAAAGCUAGGGGAGCAAACGGGAUUAGACACCCCGGUAGUCCUAGCUGUAAACGAUGCAGACUUGGUGUUGGGAGUGUAAAAACUUUCAGUGCCGGAGCUAACGCGUUAAGUCUGCCGCCUGGGGACUACGACCGCAAGGUUAAAACUCAAAGGAAUUGACGGG